rnacentral:tRNA from 2 species
GCUGUGGCGCAGUUUGGUAGCGCGUCUGCUUUGGGAGCAGAAUGUCGCAGGUUCAAAUCCUGUCAGC